GGUAAUCUACCCCAAAGUCUGGAAUAACCUGCCGAAAGGCGGCUAAUACUAGAUAGAGCGAUGGAAUCCGUAAUUGGGUUUUUCGGGAAAGGGAGGAAGCAAUUCCCUUUGCUUUGGGAUGAGCCUGCGUCUCAUUAGCUAGUUGGUGGGGUAACAGCCCACCAAGGCAUUGAUGGGUAGCUGGUCUGAGAGGAUGAUCAGCCACACUGGAACUGAAACACGGUCCAGACUCCUACGGGAGGCAGCAGUGGGAAUCUUGCGCAAUGGACGAAAGUCUGACGCAGCCACGCCGCGUGAGUGAAGAAGGCCUUCGGGUUGUAAAGCUCUGUCGAGCGGGACGAAAAUUCUAGGAGUGAAUAGCUCCUAGAACUGACGGUACCGCUAAAGGAAGCACCGGCUAACUCCGUGCCAGCAGCCGCGGUAA
rnacentral:rRNA from 1 species